AUGGUCCGUCCACUCUUCGCCCGGCUCCCGCCGCCUCCGGAUUACGCCCCUAUGUUUCCUGACUGGGUCCUCCUCGACACUGUAGUGCGCGGGGCUAACUACGACUGGAAGAAAAUGUCAAUGGCUCAAUGUUCUGCUUCCUUGGCUACCACAGCCAGAACAUUCGUGGAUGUCAAAAGUGAGGCGGAGUCCCAGGAAGAAGUGGUGGUGGAGGUGGAGGUUUCCUUCUUAUUCGUCAGCCCACCGGAUAUAUCUGGUUUCAUUGUCCAUGUCGGGGAUUAUGGGUUGUCGAAUGGUGCGUGCGUCGUCAGCACCGACGGCGAUGCUGUUCUGCUAGCCAUUACCAUGGCAGCCUUCAAGAGAAGGCGUUAUUUUGUCUACACGGCUGGCCUCGGGAAGCCGUCACUUGAGGUGCUCCCGUACCCACCAAACGAAUUUCCUCAGACCCAAUCGGUCGGCAUCCUCAACCACAGUCAGGGUUAUGUUGUGGCUGCUUUGACACCGGAGUACAGUGCCAACACCAGUAAAGCUUUUACUUAUAAGCUGUUCCAUUACUGUUCCAGGACCAGGACUUGGAGCAACAAGGUGGUGAAGCUUAGAAGUGGUUUUAGGUCUGCUGACCGUACGCAUAUCAUUGACCAUAAGACAACAAAGGUAAUCAAGGUCGGAGAGAAUUCGUUAGGGUGGGUGGACCUAUGGCAUGGAAUAAUAUCAUGUAAUCUUCUUCAAGAAGAUCCUGGCAUGCAGUUCUUUAACUUCCCCGGUCCUAUGGAUAUAAACUCUCGCUAUUAUGGAAUAAUACCAGCUAGGUCGUUCAGGGAUGUGAUAUGGACUGGAAAUACACUCAGGAUUGUUGAGGUGGAGUAUAACCAAGAUGCAAAAGCUGGUGGUGACUAUAGUUGGAAGGCGAUAAUGAAGAUAAGAAAUAAAGGUACACGAUGGGGGACACAGAAUGAUGUUGAUAGUGGAAAUAUCAUUUUAGGUGAAGAAAGUUGGAAUUUGUUAUGGCAAUCGCACACGCUGCCGGAUCAUGUUCCAAGAUCAUAUCACUUGAGUAAGCUUGAGUGUUUUGCUCCAACACUAGGCAUAGAUGAUAAUGUUAUCUACAUGAUGUCCCGGUCAUUUUUGAGUGAGGAGAAGCCUUUCGGCCUAUUUGCUGCUGUCGACAUGAACAAUAAUGAUGCCAGGCUUGUGUCCUUUUCAACAGAAAGGCUGACAUAUGUCGAUCCAAAUUAUUGUCCAUGUACUGUGUCAAGAUACUUCCAAAAUGCAGGCCUCAAUACAAUUGGAGGAAAUCUCAGGUGGAUUGGUCUGAUCAAGUUAGCAGUGCUACACGAUAUUCUUGCUGCCAUUGAGACGCUAAAGUCAUUAGAUGCAAUAUUGAUGAAGGCUGAAAGGCCGGAUGAAACGCAGCUAGAUCAAACACAUCUAAGGAAUUGUUGUGUCUCUGUUGAAAUGCUUGGCCAGUUGGCCCCUGCGAUUAUUUUUUACACCGAUGAGGUACCCCCAACCAGCAUUCGAUGCCAUGUCAUCGCACUUAAAGGGGAGUUUUCUCUUCUGGAUGAUAAGACUCUGGCCUUUAUGGACAAGGACCAGUAUGCCAGAACUGUCAAUAGCAUGCACUUCAAAAUAUGCUCGGUCAUAAAAGUGGCGCACAGUCUCGUAAAAGGAUUGCUGCCGAAGAAAUUGGACGAUCCACAUUAUUCGCUCCUAUCUGUGGAACGGUCGCUUAAGUAUGGAGAGUUGCCAUUGACACAGCACCUGAGGCGCCUUGAUGUGUCAGAAAGAGGUCCCACCCACCCUGUCAGAGGGUGGUCGUGA
rnacentral:rRNA from 1 species